UACGUAGGGUGCGAGCGUUGUCCGGAAUUAUUGGGCGUAAAGGGCUCGUAGGCGGACAUUUAAGUCAGGGGUGAAAUCCCAGAGCUCAACUCUGGAACUGCCUUUGAUACUGGGUGUCUUGAGUAUGGAAGAGGUGAGUGGAAUUCCCAGUGUAGCGGUGAAAUGCGUAGAUAUUGGGAGGAACACCAGUGGCGAAGGCGGCUCACUGGACUGGUACUGACGCUGAGGCGCGAAAGCCAGGGUAGCAAACGGG
rnacentral:rRNA from 1 species